CACUCACCUAUAUAUUCCAACCAUAUUAAACAUCCUCUGCAUAUUUUUUGUCCUUUCUCUCUGCCAUGCCUAUAUGCAUACCAUUGUUUUUGCUUGGAAUGCCCUUAUCUCAUACCUUGCAUGCACAAAUACUAUUCAUCCUCCAAAACCCAGUUCAUAGGUCAAUUCUUUGAAGUCUUCCCUGAUUUCAGUAUUUGCAAGUGGUCUCUUCCCUCUUCCAAAUCCCCAUAACACUCUAGCUUCUCCUUUUUCGUGGUACUCACAUCUGACUACCUUGUUGUCUGUACAUGCCAUGAUCUCCUUGGGACAGAAUUCAUAACUAAGAGCUAAAAUGUAUUGGGUGCCUACUGUGUGCCAGGCACUGUACAUAUAGUACUAUAUUUAUUUGCUCAUAUGAUCCUUUUAUCAACCUGAUGAGGUAGGCAGUGUUAGCUCCAUUUUACAGAUAAGGACAGUGAGAUUUAGAGACUCAGCCAAGUUUACACAAUGUGGCAGAGAAGGCUGUGGUCUGGCAAAAUGUAUUGUUUCAUUGCCAUAAUAUAGAGUGGUUGCAUGGAAGCGGAACCUAACAUGACUAUUCCCCAGCCACCUGGCAUCCAGGCAGGACCUGUGACUAGUUCUCAGCAAUAGAAUCCAAGUGGAAGUGAUGUGUGUCCAUUCCAAGUGAAGGUAUUUAAGAAUCAGUUGUGCCUUUCCCCACUUCCGCCUUUAUCUGCUAUCUGGAUGCAGAGAACUCUAAGGAGCCCACCGUAAAGAAAGGCUCUUGAAUCUCUCUGACUACACCAAUCAACCAGGAAUAUCCACCUGGAAGCACCACCUACAUGAGAAACAAAUGUAUUGAGGCACUGAAAUUGGGGAGUUUAUACAGCAGCUGGCAUUAUCUUAACUAAUUCAAACAGCUACCAAGGGGUGGAACUAGGCUUCAGACUGAGAAAAGCUUAUUUUAGAGGCUGUGAUUGGUAUGAAUCCAUAUCUAUAAGAUCAGAAGCCUGCACUUUUCACCACGAAGCCAGUGUCUCUCAUCGUGUCAGUCAAAGGUCAUUUCUACAAGGAUUACAAAGCUGCCUGUAAAACAUGUAGACAUGGGACCUCACUCCAGAUUUUCCAAAUUAAAAUCUUUGGUAUUUGUGACAAAAAUCUGCCUUGUUAACAAUCUUCCCAGGAGAACCUGGUGUACGCUAAAUAUUGAGAAACUUUUCUAUGAAUGAUAUUGUCUCCUUCCUAAUAUUCAGCACAGUGUUUUACAGAGAAUAGGAGAUCAGGCAGCAUUGCAUAGGUGAAUGAACAAAAGUGUGAGCCAAUAGGGCAUUUCUGUGGAAAGGGACCCCAAACUUUCCAUCUCUUCUGGAUCCUAAAUCCAGUGCUGAUUCCUUAAAUCCUAUUGGACAGCAUCCCUCAGGAUUCAUUCUUGAGUCAGAAAGGUGUUCAACCAUUGCCAGAAGUGACCCUCUACUAUUCAUGAUGCUGAAGCCUCACUUUGAAGCUGCCAGAACUCAGACGCCAUGCCUGGUGGAUUUAUUGCCCAGCCUGCCCACGGAGCAGCAUUCUACAAGGGCUGAUAACUGCUGGGAUAAUACAACGGAUGGUGAAUUUGAUUCAAUCCUGAAUUCCGCUGCAGAGGGCUCCUGUGAGAACCGCUAACCUAUCUUAAUGGAAGAGGACAAAGAAAGGUCACCUUUGGAUUUGUGAGGUCACGCACAGCUCAGGAGGAAUGAAAUUUACUGAGUUUGCUGCCAGCUCAAGCCAUUUUCUCAAAAUGACCAUCUCUCUAGGGAGAGAUAUUAUGCUCAUACUGUUAGAAGCUCGGAGGCUAGGUAAUAAAACAAUAUAUGUUUGCUGUUUUGUCAGCUUUGGUUUUUGCUUUAGCAGUUGUUUAAAACGUGAAAAAAAUCAAAGAAGAACAGAAAAAUAAACAAGCAAAAAGACUAAAGACAGAGGGAAAUGGAGAGUCAGCAUACGAGGGGGAAAGAGCAGAGUGAAUAUAGAGACAGAUAAAAGAACAGGGUGGAGUGAAAGGGGAAAAAAAUAGAUUCUACCUCCCUCCUUUUUCAUUUGAAGAAAGCUUGUACGUCAGCUUUUCACUUUCCUGAUCCAUAAAAAUUGUCAGUGACCCUGUUUCUUCUCUCCUCUGAGCCUGGAACAGGUAUUGAGGGAUAAUCUUAGAAAGUUUUAAAUUGCCUGAGCACGGCGCUGAAGCUGCCCAUUGACUACUGGGAGUCUGGUGUGUUCAACAGAGGAUGCAGCACAGAAAAGGAAUCAAUCUCUGAAUCUUGUACCUUUAUCAGCCCAUGCUGGCUGCCCUCCUCCCUCUCCUACCAUCUCCUGGAAGAGCUUUCAGCUGAAUCCUUCAUGUGCACUCUCUCGGAUAAACAGUUGCAUGUAAUCCCUUGCUAUGCAGGGGACAGAGAUUCGGCCUUGCAUGGUUAGAGCAAGGAUUCUGGGCUCUGAUUUCCCCAUUCCUCCCUCUCUUUCUCACUCCCACAGGAAUGAGGCCCUGAGAAACUGGAAGGUCAGGGAAGAUUCCUGUGGGACCCCCACAGGAAGAUUCCUGGGUUUCCCCCUCAGCACACCCUCCCCAGACACACCUGACGGCAAAAGCAGACAUCCUCCUAUCAUUAAGAAACUUAUAAAAUUAUAAUGUCCUUCUAUCUUCAGCUUAAUACCUUGCCGUUGUUAAAAAGAGAGAGAGAGAGAGAGGGAAUAACACAAAGGAAUUAAGCAAAAGGCUAUUUCCACACACGAUUCUGAUUACAAAUUUAGUGCUGUGUACAUCUCUAGCAAGGUCAAUUACAAACAUCGAGGGGAAAUGCCUGUGCCGGUUUUUUUCCGUAUCUCAAUUCUCUCUCUCCUGCCAAUCCUGAUAUUCUUCUGCAAGGGACCACCUGCUGAGUAAAGGUUGGGACAUAGUUUUAAGUCAAAAAUUUUGCUGCUUCUUAGCAUUAAAAAGAUGCAAGUUAUUUAAAACUGGGUAUACAUCUUCAAGGUCACUAUUCUGGAAUUUAAAAAUCAAGCAAAUGUUGAGUCAUCAAAGGAAAUUUGCAUUUAUUUCAAUAACUGAGGAAAAACGACUAGAAAAAAUGUAACCCAGCUUUUAGAUGGAUAUCUCCUUACCCCCAAAAGAUGGAUUUAUAUCGGCUUAUACCUCU
rnacentral:lncRNA from 10 species